GCACCGCAGCAAACCCUGCUCUCCUCUGCCAGUGGUGGGUAAGGGUAAAGAUGGUGCCAGAGUGCCUCAAAGUUAAUCCAGACGAGUUACCUCUUCCCUUUGGAGCUUGUCUCUACUACUUUGAUACAAAG
ensembl:snoRNA